rnacentral:rRNA from 1 species
UACGGUGGGAGCAAGCGUUGUUCGGAUUUACUGGGCGUAAAGGGCGCGUAGGCGGCCACCGCACGUCGGUUGUGAAAUCUCUGGGCUUAACCCAGAAAGGUCAACCGAUACUGCGGGGCUAGAGUGCAGAAGGGGCAACUGGAAUUCUCGGUGUAGCGGUGAAAUGCGUAGAUAUCGAGAGGAACACCUGCGGCGAAGGCGGGUUGCUGGGCUGACACUGACGCUGAAGCGCGAAAGCUAGGGGAGCGAACGGG